UCCCCAUUGCCAGAGCUUCCCUCAAGUUUGAAAUGUCUAGUGAUUGCAGAUGCCGAAUUCCCUGCUCUUCCUGAUCUAUCGCACUUGAAGAGGCUACUAAAAUUACAGCUCAGCGACUUCCCCAAUCUGGCGGAGAUUCCAGGUUUGGGGGAACUAGAAUCACUGGAGUCUUUGCACAUUACCAUGUGUGAUGUGAUCAAACAAUUGCCUAACUUAUCGAAGUUGAAAAAUCUACAGCAUCUCGAGCUAUGCCGUUGUAGGAAGUUGAGAGCCGUCGAAGGCUUGAAAGAACUGAAUAAUUUGGUAUAUGUGAAGAUAGAAAAUUGCAGGUCAAUGGAAAGGUUGCCCGAUGUGUCGACAUUACCAAGUUGGAGUUGGGUUUGGCAGAAGCUUUAAAACAAACCGUUCUCUCUACCGUGCAACUGAUUGAAGAAUAUCAUGACUGGUAUCAAACUGGUGCAGUAGAAAGAGCUGGCGGUUGGGAAGAGAGUUGGCGGUGAGUUAGUCAGAGUAUUGAGGACCUGGUCAUGGGAUAAUGCCAAACCUGCGGGCCCUGCACGUGGGAUAAAUGCCACACAUUCACCACCGACAUGAACUAAUCCGAGUGUCUCUCAUGUCACUUCUUGAGCCAUCUAUUGUAUUUCUUGAUGUUGUUUUAAUUUAUAGGGUGCCAAAGUACGAGAAUGCAUCGUAUCUCUAAUUUACUCCCAUUAAUAUUCAGUGAUUAUUCCACGCAUUCAUCUUAGGCCAAGCUCUAAGUGCAAUUAGAGUAUUUGAAUAUCAAUCACGAGGUUCCAUUUAUUUAGUACGUUAGUACUUUUGGAUCCAUCGGCAGCCACUGAGCCCCCUUUUCCUUAAUGCUGUUGACUUUAUUUCUUUUUACGUGAAAUUUUAUAAAGAGAAAUAACCCAAAAUAAAAUCUUCAUAAACCAGCAUCCUAAAGGAAAAUAAUCUACACACAACUGCAAUAUAAGUUAAAGCGGAAAGCGCCACCCAUAUUUUUGUAGGAUGAAGAGCAUAAUAGAUACGACAACACUUUGAGAAAUUAUUCACCCGAGUGGGGUAUAAAGCCUAAAAUGAGGGAAUUCCCAAGCUUUAUUAAAACUUGAAAUCAAGGAGGUCACCUUAACGUAUCCGUCCAUUUUAUGACGAAAAGUUUGUAAACGCUGAAGAGGAAAAUGCGAUCUAGGGGACGACUGUUGAUUGAUGCACCUUUGUACCUUUAGUCAACGAGGGCUCGAGUGCUGAGCCUCGUGGCGGGCGAAGACUGCGCUACUGCCGAAUCUCCCUUGCCGUGCAGGACGUCGCUGGGAUUCAAAGUCGUGAUCCUGGAGGGAUUGGGCAGCCUCUGGCAGUUUUGGUGGGGAUCAACCAGCUCGUCUAUGUUUUUCCAUCUGUAGGGUGCUGUGAAUACUCCUGGUGUCACCGCUGAUAUCCGCCACAAAGACACCGGUGCCAUGGUGAGUUUCCCCCUCUGAUCGUUAAUUUGCUUGCUAUUUGCUGAAUUUAGGAUGGUGGAAUUGCUAGGCUCUAGAUAAAGAUGAAAUUUGAUAGUGUUGAUUGUUCUGUGGGGAUAUUGUUUGGAUUACCUUUCCGGAUGAGUGAGCUUCAUAUCAUUAGUGAGUAUAUGGAUCAUUUUUUAUGUCAGACUAAUUUGAUAUUGUUGAUUGUUUUCUGUGGAUUUCUGGGACAACAAAAACUGGAGAAGGCCCCUGUAGGGAUGGACCUCGUCAUCAUCCCUGCCGGAGUUCCUGGGAGAACAGGAAUGAAAAGAGAUGACCUGUUCAAAAUGAGUGCUGGAACAACAGAACCCUUUGUGAAGGAGUUGCCACAUGUUGCCCGAAUGCCAUAGUCAACUGGAUUUGUAGCUCUGUUAACUCCACAGUUCCCAUUGCAGCCAAAGUUUCCAAGAGCGCUGGCACUUAUGAUCCAAGAGACUGUUGGGUGUGACCAUGCUUGACGUAGUUAGAGCAAAUACUUUUGUGGUACAUAUCACUUCUGCUUGUACUGUCUUGCUGAUACGGUCAAGAAGCAUCAAGUAUAUUUAUAGAGUUCAGAGUGUCAGGUCGUCGCUUCGUAUGAGCCUACAAGUUUAGCACGCUUGUCUGGCGUGCAAUCACUUGCUCCAAGGGCAGCUAACUUUUUCCCAUCUUGCAAUAAGACAGCUAAGUGGACCCGGUAUUUCAUUAAAUAGGCUAAUGCCUCAUGUA